ensembl:lncRNA
AGAGAGAAGGAAAGAGAGAGAAGGAAAGAGAGAAGGAAAGAGAGAGAGAGAAGGAGAGAGAGAGAAGGAGAGAGGGAAAGAGAAGGAAAGAGAGAGAAGGAAAGAGAGAGAGAGAAGGAAAGAGAGAGAAGGAAAGAGAGAGAAAGAGAGAAGGAAAGAGAGAGAAGGAAAGAGAGAAAGAGAGAAAGAAAGAGAGAAGGAGAGAGAGAAGGAAAGAGAGAGAAGGAAAGAAGGAAAGAGAGAGAGAGAAGGAAAGAGAGAGAGAGAAGAAGAGAAAGAGAAAGAGAGAAGGAAAGAGAGAGAGAGAAGGAAAGAGAGAGAGA